GACGAACGCUGGCGGCGUGCCUAAUACAUGCAAGUCGAGCGGACAGAAGGGAGCUUGCUCCCGGAUGUUAGCGGCGGACGGGUGAGUAACACGCGGGUAACCUGCCUGUAAGACUGGGAUAACUCCGGGAAACCGGAGCUAAUACCGGAUAGUUCCUUGAACCGCAUGGUUCAAGGAUGAAAGACGGUUUCGGCUGUCACUUACAGAUGGACCCGCGGCGCAUUAGCUAGUUGGUGGGGUAAUGGCUCACCAAGGCGACGAUGCGUAGCCGACCUGAGAGAGUGAUCGGCCACACUGGGACUGAGACACGGCCCAGACUCCUACGGGAGGCAGCAGUAGGGAAUCUUCCGCAAUGGACGAAAGUCUGACGGAGCAACGCCGCGUGAGUGAUGAAGGUUUUCGGAUCGUAAAGCUCUGUUGUUAGGGAAGAACAAGUGCGAGAGUAACUGCUCGCACCUUGACGGUACCUAACCAGAAAGCCACGGCUAACUACGUGCCAGCCGCCGCCGUAAGAC
rnacentral:rRNA from 1 species